GAUAUGAUGCUGCAGUCUUCUUCGCAAGCUCGCUGCCGAUCGUCCUUCAUAAGAACUAGUUGCACCAAUGUUUGUAUACCUUCAUGACCUCUACUAGGAUCUCUUUAGAAAUCCUUUGUCAAAAGAUCUCACUACACAUAAAUUAAAUUUUAUGUUCAACACAUGAACAAUAUGAUUUUUGGACAAGUAUAUCAUGCUUUCC
rnacentral:lncRNA from 1 species